GUUUUCCAGAUUUGGCAUGAAGAUUGAUUCAGAGAAGUUAUUUUCUUUUGCAGGAGACUUAACCAUGGAGGAGUCCUUUAUCUGAACUUUUCUAAUUUGGGAGAGAGAGAGAGAGAGGUAGAUCUGGUAGUAGAAAGUUUAGCUCGGCUAUAGAUGAGCUAAAAUAGAUUGUCCAAAGCCAAGGUCCUAGAGACCAUGGAGCGUAUGUUGACCUCAGGUGAUUUGGAAUUGGUUGGCCAUGGAUGAGCUAAAAUAGCACAUCCACGACUAAGGUCAAAUCGUCAGC
rnacentral:lncRNA from 1 species